rnacentral:rRNA from 1 species
CUUUGAUCUGGCUCAGGACGAACGCUGGCGGCGCGCCUAACACAUGCGAGUCGAACGAGCGAGAGAGAGCUUGCUUUCUCGGGCGAGUGGCGAACGGGUGAGUAACGCGUGAGGAGCCUGCCUCAAAGAGGGGGACAACAGUUGGAAACGACUGCUAAUACCGCAUAAGCCCACGACCCGGCAUCGGGUAGAGGGAAAAGGAGUAAUCCGCUUUGAGAUGGCCUCGCGUCCGAUUAGCUAGUUGGUGAGGUAACGGCCCACCAAGGCAACGAUCGGUAGCCGGACUGAGAGGUUGAACGGCCACAUUGGGACUGAGACACGGCCCAGACUCCUACGGGAGGCAGCAGAGGGGAAUAUUGCACAAUGGGGGAAACCCUGAUGCAGUGACGCCGCGUGGAGGAAGAAGGUCUUCGGAUUGUAAACUCCUGUUGUUGAGGAAGAUAAUGACGGUACUCAACAAGGAAGUGACGGCUAACUACGUGCCAGCAGCCGCGGUAAAACGUAGGUCACAAGCGUUGUCCGGAAUUACUGGGUGUAAAGGGAGCGCAGGCGGGAAGACAAGUUGGAAGUGAAAUCCAUGGGCUCAACCCAUGAACUGCUUUCAAAACUGUUUUUCUUGAGUAGUGCAGAGGUAGGCGGAAUUCCCGGUGUAGCGGUGGAAUGCGUAGAUAUCGGGAGGAACACCAGUGGCGAAGGCGGCCUACUGGGCACCAACUGACGCUGAGGCUCGAAAGUGUGGGUAGCAAACAGGAUUAGAUACCCUGGUAGUCCACACUGUAAACGAUGAUUACUAGGUGUUGGAGGAUUGACCCCUUCAGUGCCGCAGUUAACACAAUAAGUAAUCCACCUGGGGAGUACGACCGCAAGGUUGCAACUCAAAUGAAUUGACGG